rnacentral:rRNA from 1 species
GUAGUCAUAUGCUUGUCUCAAAGAUUAAGCCAUGCAUGUCUAAGUACAUACCUUUGCACGGUGAAACCGCGAAUGGCUCAUUAAAUCAGUUAUGGUUCCUUAGAUCGUUCUUUUUACAUGGAUAACUGUGGUAAUUCUAGAGCUAAUACAUGCAAAAAGCUCCGACCGUAUGGGAAGAGCGCUUUUAUUAGACCAAAACCAAUGGGGUCGCAAGAUCCCUUUGUCUGGUGACUCUGGAUAACUUUGUGCUGAUCGCAUGGCCUUGAGCCGGCGACGUAUCUUUCAAGUGUCUGCCCUAUCAACUUUCGAUGGUAAGCGAUUUGCCUACCAUGGUUGUAACGGGUAACGGGGAAUA